rnacentral:rRNA from 1 species
GACGAACGCUGGCGGCGUGCUUAACACAUGCAAGUCGAGCGGUAAGGCCCCUUCGGGGGUACGACGAGCGGCGAACGGGUGAGUAACACGUGGGUGACCUGCCCUCAGCUCUGGGAUAAGCCUGGGAAACUGGGUCUAAUACCGGAUAUGACUCCAUGACGCAUGUCGUGGGGUGGAAAGCCUUGUGCGGCUGGGGAUGGGCCCGCGGCCUAUCAGCUUGUUGGUGGGGUGAUGGCCACCAAGGCGACGACGGGUAGCCGGCCUGAGAGGGCGACCGGCCACACUGGGGACUGAGACACGGCCCAGACUCCUACGGGAGGGCAGCAGUGGGGAAUCUUGCGCAAUGGGCGAAAGCCUGACGCAGCGACGCCGCGUGAGGGAUGACGGCC